rnacentral:rRNA from 1 species
AUUGAACGCUGGCGGCAGGCUUAACACAUGCAAGUCGAGCGGGCGAGGUUGCUUCGGUAACUGAGCUAGCGGCGGACGGGUGAGUAAUGCUUAGGAAUCUGCCUAUUAGUGGGGGACAACAUCUCGAAAGGGAUGCUAAUACCGCAUACGUCCUACGGGAGAAAGCAGGGGACCUUCGGGCCUUGCGCUAAUAGCUGAGCCUAAGUCGGAUUAGCUAGUUGGUGGGGUAAAGGCCUACCAAGGCGACGAUCUGUAGCGGGUCUGAGAGGAUGAUCCGCCACACUGGAACUGAGACACGGCCCAGACUCCUACGGGAGGCAGCAGUGGGGAAUAUUGGACAAUGGGGGGAACCCUGAUCCAGCCAUGCCGCGUGUGUGAAGAAGGCCUUUUGGUUGUAAAGCACUUUAAGCGAGGAGGAGGCUACCGAGAUUAAUACUCUUGGAUAGUGGACGUUACUCGCAGAAUAGGCACCGGCUAACUCUGUGCCAGCCGCCGCAGUAAGAC